rnacentral:rRNA from 1 species
UCGUAACAAGGUUUCCGUAGGUGAACCUGCGGAAGGAUCAUUAUUGAAUGAACUUGGUGUGGUUGUUGCUGGCCCUUUCGGGGGCAUGUGCACACCCAUCAUCCUCAUCUCUCCACCUGUGCACCUCUUGUAGACUUGGAUUGACUUUCCGAGGCAACUCGGUCGGGAGGACUUGCUGGCAUUAGCUGGCUUUCCUUGCAUUUCCAAGUCUACGUUUUUCAUAUACCCCAUUGAAUGUAACAGAAUGUAACAUAUUGGGCCUUUGUGCCUAUAAAAACUUAUACAACUUUCAGCAACGGAUCUCUUGGCUCUCGCAUCGAUGAAGAACGCAGCGAAAUGCGAUAAGUAAUGUGAAUUGCAGAAUUCAGUGAAUCAUCGAAUCUUUGAACGCACCUUGCGCUCCUUGGUAUUCCGAGGAGCAUGCCUGUUUGAGUGUCAUUAAAUUCUCAACCAUUAUCAGCUUUUGCUGAUGAUGGCUUGGAUAUGGGGGUUUAUUUUGCUGGCUUCUUCACAGAUUGUCAGCUCCCCUUAAAUGCAUUAGCCGGUGCCCCGCGUGGACUGUCUAUUGGUGUGAUAAUUAUCUACGCCAUGGACAUCUACAAUCAUAUGGGUUUGCACUGCUUCCAACCGUCUGUUUAUUCAGACAAUACACGACAAUUUGACCUCAAAUCAGGUAGGACUACCCGCUGAACUUAAGCAUAUCAAUAAGCGGAGGAAAAGAAACUAACAAGGAUUCCCCUAGUAACUGCGAGUGAAGCGGGAAAAGCUCAAAUUUAAAAUCUGGCGGUCU